UUUUUAACUUGCCUGUGUCUUAUGACUUUUCAGAAAUGAAGAGUGUAAACAACUUGUUGCUCACUGGAACACAUGACCCACAACCGGCGCGCGCCCCCUGCCUGAGCCAGAGAUUCAGAAGAUGAGGAUGUUACUUAAACAAAUAGAUAAUGGCCAUAUACUGCCUGAGAUACAGAAGUCAGGAGGAGAGAGGGAGUACCAGUAAGGUCUCACCAAUAUUUAAGAUAUAUCAAUGUCAUUGGAAGUAGUUACAGAGUGCAAGUAGAACAUCUGUGGAUGUGGAACAUAUUCCAAGAAGGAAAUGACGUCUGGGUGCCAUGAGUUAUCUCCAGAGCUGGUGGCUUGGAAAAGCAGAAGAGCGGGGAGUUCAGGAAUACAGUAUUUACACUGGUCAGGCCCCAAAAAGAAGACUGAGACAUAAAACAGUUGCCAGGAUUUGUCCUGAAUUUACGUCUCCACUCUGCGUUGGUAAGCAGAGUUCAUUUUUGUACUAUCUCUCAUCAGUAAAUAAAAACACUUCCAGAACUAAAGUCUGACUGAGCUGUUCU